UGGUAAUUUGACUCAAUAAUUUCCUUCUAAAAUUUAUUGGGCCGCGGGUUGGUAAAUUCCGAGCCAAUACUGCCGCAGGUUGGUAAACUCCGAGCCAACGCGCUGGUACUAAGUAAACACCAUGCAUGGGGCCCGGGCGUAGCACAUCUACAUUGUUGAGCACAUCACACUUAUUUAGAUAUUACGAUGUAGACAUAUAUGUUUCUUUACCUAUUAGUCGUAUUGUAUUAGUCACUUAAUCCAUGUUACCUUGUGAACAAAUAUAUUUGGCGUCUUCCGAUAUGUUGGGAUUUUGUGAAUCACGUGGUUGUUUUCUUUAAAGUUGAAAUGUCACUACAUAUCCUCUUAUUGCUAUCUGCAUGUCGUGGAUGUCCUUAUAUACAAAGAAAACUCUGCCCAAUU